AGAGUUGAUCCUGGGCUCGAACGGGUUGCUGGCGGCGCGUUUAAGCAUGCAGUCGAGGGGUAGAAAGUCUUCGGACUUUUGAGACCGGCGAACGGGUGAGUACACGUAGAUAAUCUGUCUCUGGAUGGGGGAUAGCCCAUGGAAACAUGGGGUAAUACCGCAUAAGCUCUCUUUUUCAUAAGGAGGAGAGAGGAAAGGCGCUUAGGGGUCGUCCGGAGAGGAGUCUGCGGUUCAUUAGUUAGUUGGUGGGGUAAAGGCCUACCAAGGCGACGAUGAAUAGCCGGCCUGAGAGGGUGAACGGCCACACUGGGACUGAGACACGGCCCAGACUCCUACGGGAGGCAGCAGCUAAGAAUCUUCCGCAAUGGGCGAAAGCCUGACGGAGCGAAGCCGCGUGAACGAAGAAGGCCUAACGGUUGUAAAGUUCUUUUCUUGGGGAGGAAUAAGCCUUGCAGGGAAUGGCAGGGUGAUGACGUUAACCGAGGAAAAAGCCCCGGCUAAUUACGUGCCAGCAGCCGCGGUUACACGUAAGGGGCGAGCGUUGUACGGAAUUAUUGGGCGUAAAGGGCGCGUAGGCGGCAUAACAAGUCAGGUGUGAAAGAU
rnacentral:rRNA from 1 species